GAAAAAGGGUACGGUGCACUAUUGUAGUUAUCUUCUCUUUGUUUCUAAUUUUCCUUAAAUUUUUCCAAGAGAAAACAACAUAAAAGGCUCAACUGAGCCAUAUCCAUCUAUUUCUAAUUCACUAAAAAGAGUUGGGAUGGAAGUAUGAAAUGAUAUGCCUAUUUAGAAGAAUUUACAAUCAAAGCAAUAGAAAUUGCCACUGCAAAACGUUUAUAUGCGUUGUGAUUUGAUAGUUUCAUUUGAUAAUCUUUGGCUUCGUGCUACACUUGAUCAACUGACGGUAACUUUUAUAUCUGAUACUGGUGCAAUGUUGGACAGGUUAGACCUAGUGUCGCUUUUA
rnacentral:misc_RNA from 1 species